rnacentral:rRNA from 1 species
AUAUUAAUAAGCGGAGGAAAAGAAACUAACAAGGAUUCCCUCAGUAACGGCGAGUGAAGUGGGAAAAGCUCAAAUUUGGAAUCUCCAAGGGAAACUUUGGCGAAUUGUAGACUAGAGAAACGAUUGCUGGACUUAAACAUAGCCUAAGUUUGUUGGAAAACAACAUCAAAGAGGGUGAAAGUCCCGUUUAGGUUAUGAGUUGGGUUCUCUACGGGUCGUUUUCAAAGAGUCGGGUUGUUUGGGAAUGCAGCCCAAAACGGGUGGUAAAUUUCAUCUAAGGCUAAAUAUUGACACGAGAUCGAUAGCGCACAAGUA